rnacentral:rRNA from 1 species
CCUACGGGUGGCAGCAGUGAGGAAUAUUGGUCAAUGGACGAGAGUCUGACCAGCCAAGUAGCGUGAAGGAUGACUGCCCUAUGGGUUGUAAACUUCUUUUAUAAAGGAAUAAAACGAGGCACGUGUGCCUUUUUGCAUGUACUUUAUGAAUAAGGAUCGGCUAACUCCGUGCAAGCAGCCGCGGUAAUGCGGAGGCUCCGAGCGUUAUCCGGAUUUAUUGGGUUUAAAGGGAGCGUAGAUGGGUUUUUAAGUCAGUUGUGAAAGUUUGCGGAUCAACCGUAAAAUUGCAAUUGAUACUGGCAGUCUAGAGUACAGUUGAGGUAGGCGGAAUGCGUGGUGUAGCGGUGAAAUGCUUAGAUAUAACGAAGAACCCCGAUUGCGAAGGCAGCUUACUAAACUGUGACUGACAUUGAUGCUCGAAAGUGUGGGUAUCAAACAGGAUUAGAUACCCUGGUAGUC